rnacentral:ncRNA from 1 species
AUAGCGACAUUCUGUAUAAAUCGUCUUUUCGUCUAAAAAUUGUUCAAUCAUAUGAUUGAACUCGACCGUGCUGUCAUAAAAUCUGGCUAUAUGCUGGAACAUCUGGCAUCUCCCAACCAUCAGGAGAAUGGGAGAUUGGAGAAUCUCACACUACGUAGUAAACUACUUGUAAAAGAUACGUGAAAAUGUGUUGAGUGCAGAUAACCAGCAGGGAAGACUAAGAUAUGACAGCGUCGAUUCAUCCAAAUCUUGUUUAUACAAUGAACAAGUCUGGCAAGUAUCGACGUUGUAAACAUCAUCUAUCUUAGAACCCUCAGAGACUAUACGCCGGACUCCGAUGUCCAUCGGAGAAGAUAUAGUCCGAACCGCAUGGCGACAUGCAG